rnacentral:tRNA from 1 species
GUUCCUUUAGCUAAGUGGUAUAGCGUGCGAUUGCAAAUCGCGAGGUCCCGUGUUCGAACCACGGAGGGAACU